AAUAGAUACCCGGGUAGUCCACCCCGUAAACGUUGGGAACUAGUUGUGGGGUCCUUUCCACGGAUUCCGUGACGCAGCUAACGCAUUAAGUUCCCCGCCUGGGGAGUACGGCCGCAAGGCUAAAACUCAAAGGAAUUGACGGGGACCCGCACAAGCGGCGGAGCAUGCGGAUUAAUUCGAUGCAACGCGAAGAACCUUACCAAGGCUUGACAUACACCAGAACACCCUAGAAAUAGGGGACUCUUUGGACACUGGUGAACAGGUGGUGCAUGGUUGUCGUCAGCUCGUGUCGUGAGAUGUUGGGUUAAGUCCCGCAACGAGCGCAACCCUCGUUCUAUGUUGCCAGCACGUAAUGGUGGGAACUCAUGGGAUACUGCCGGGGUCAACUCGGAGGAAGGUGGGGAUGACGUCAAAUCAUCAUGCCCCUUAUGUCUUGGGCUUCACGCAUGCUACAAUGGCCGGUACAAAGGGCUGCAAUACCGUGAGGUGGAGCGAAUCCCAAAAGCCGGUCCCAGUUCGGAUUGAGGUCUGCAACUCGACCUCAUG
rnacentral:rRNA from 1 species